rnacentral:ncRNA from 1 species
AAUUUGCAUCAAGAGUGGCUUCAAUGCCCACCAACCGGCCAAGAAUAAUCGUUGGCAGCGGUGGUAAAACGAUGCGAGUGAGAAAGUUUAAUUCACUAAAGAUUAACGAUUAU